GGCUCUGUAGUGUAGCGGUCAUCACUCAAGAUUCUGAUACGGCUUUCCAUGGGAUCUACUACAUCGUGUUCUUGAAACCCAGGUUCGAUUCCUGGCAGGGCCU